AGGCAGGACGACUCUCCUCCAUGAAGACCUGAUCAGAGGAGUCCUGACUCUGCACAUCUCCUCAGUGAAGCUGUCUGACAGAGGACUUUACAAAGGCUUUGUCCCAAAGCUGAAGACCAGCUGUGUUGUUGACCUCAUUGUUGAAAUGGUGGGAAAAGACCAGCAGAACGAGACAAAGAGAGAUUAUUCCAGCACAACUGGACCUCCAGAGGAAGAAGAGACCGAGCCAGACGGUCGUG